UCGAGUUAUUCGCGAAUGAAUCGACGUGAGAUAGAAACCUCGGAUUUUUAAUUUCUAAAUUAGAACUAAUUGUUUAAAAAUUUUACUUAGUAUAAAAAUAUUAUGGUAGAUUAGGAACUACUUAAUUGCGGUGUUAAUAAAAAAAUUAGUGGCAACAAUGAGCCAAGAGGAACAUUAACGUGCCAAUGCCUAGUGAAGACUCAAAGUCAUCCAAAAUAAGGCUAUUAUGGAAGACAAACAAAUAUGCAUUUAAACAUUAAUUCAUCCACUACACUUACAUUAUAUUGUGGACAACCAAAUUGAAAGAAAAUAAGAGGUGAGGUUCGGCCAAGGUGGCUGAAAUUGGGGGAGAAAAAGUUGAGGCAUGCAUUUAAAUAUUGAAGGCAUCCAUUAUUUUAUGAAGGCAUGCAUUAUUUUAUGAAGGCAUACAAGUUGGAUGAGUCAUUGCACAUUUAAAUAUUAACCAUUCAUCCUUGUAUGAUUGCAAAGGACAAAGGUUAGUGUAUGAUUCAUUCACUACACAUGCAAUUGUCUCAUAAACAAUUAAAAGGGAAGGAAAAAGAAAGGGACAUUCGGCCAAGGCUAGCCGAAAGUAGUAGAGAAAGAAUAGAAUUUUAGUUCAAAGUUAAUUGAGUGGUCAAUGUCAUGAGUGGAGCAUGUGUUGUGUCCAGCUUGUAGGCAUCUUAGUUUAAUCAAAUGGAAGACUAAGAGAGAUCAUAGUCUCAUUUCAAUUUCACAACACAAAAAUGGAAAACCUAGAGAGAGAGAGGAGAGCCAUUCGGCCAAGAGGGCUGAAAUUUAGCUCUUUGAGUCUUGAUCCAAAAAUUAUUUUCCAAGGUGUUUCAACCCUUUAGAAGGUCCCUAGAAACGUGAAGAUAGUCAUUGGAGCAACAAGAACCAUUAUCAUUUCAAUUCACAAACUCUAGCCAAGUUGAGAAGUCGAAUUGUCAAGGUUAAAGUAUUAUUGGGCAGCGUAUACAUAUUGUGUGGCGAAUAAGCGCUAAAGGUAUGUGAAGCUAACCCUUCUUUAUUUUUGGCAUGAUCGUUGUGAAAUGAAUAUAUGAUAUAUAUAUACGAUUCCAAAGGAAUUCCUAUUCCUAGAGCCACUAGGAGGGCUAUUGAUCUUGAUUCCCAUAACUUAUGUUUUGUUUUAUAUAUAUUUAGAUGUGCACGUGAUUUCAAAGUUCCAUUUUGAUAUAAUACACAGGGACAUCCGAAAGAUAUAUGACAUGACUAUUAAUUGAAUUUGCGAACGAUGGUUCGUGUUGACUAUUCUAUUGAGUCCUUAAAAAUGUUUUGAAUUGCAUAUAGUUUUCUCACUACUCUGCUCGUGCAUACCUCAAUAUAUCUUUCACCGAGUCCCGAGCCGGGUAUGUUAUCGUGCACAGUUUCACUGCAUUGUUCACUGAGUCCCUCACUAAAGGGCCGGGUACGGUAUAUAUAUAUAUAUAUAUGAUAUGAUGAUAUGAUGACAUGUCAUGGCGGCCAGGAGGGCAUAUGAUGAUCUUAUUCACCGAGUCCCUCAUUAAAGGGCCGGGUACGAUAUAUAUACAUGCAUAUGAUAUAUGAUAUUGACAAGUAUGAUUAUGUUACAAAGGCAAGUGUUUUGGUAUUCUGGAUAUUGUACACAUUUACUGUACUCCAUAUUUCAGUUAUGAUCCUUUUACUGUACUUCACGCUUUACAUGCUCGGUACAUAUUCCGUACUGACCCCCUUUCUUCGGGGGGCUGCGUGUCAUGCCCGCAGGUACAAAUACGCGCUUUGGUGAACCGCCAGCUUAAGACUUCCCUUCUGCUAUCUUGAAGAGUUCCGUUGUUCCGGAGCCCAGACUUUGGUAUAGAUCCUUUUUGAUCUAAAUAUAUGCAUAUGUUAUUUAAGGGUACGACGGGGCCCUGUCCCAUCAUAUUUCACUGUUGAAACUCUUAGAGGUCUGUGGACAUAUGUGUGGGUUGUGUAUGAGUUCUGUUCAGCUGUGUCUAUACGAUGUGUUAUGGUAUGAUGCUCGUCUAUAGUGGCAGCCUUGUCGGCUUGCAUAUGAUAUUGUUAUAUGAUGGCAGCCUUGUCGGCAUGCAUAUGAUAUU